ACGCGAUAGUUGCUGAGAUCGCCUGCACAUUGGUUUGGAGGCUUGGAGCUAAAGACGUUUUCAAGUUUUAAAGAAACAAUUUAUGUCAUGAAAACCUUUGCUAUUCUCCUUCUGGCGUUGAUCGUUGCCUUUGGUUGCUGCUUAGAUGCAUCGGGAAGACGGAUGAAAAGAAAUGAAAGAAAUAAACUACCCUGCACACAAGAAAACAGUUGUGGGUGCGUUGAGGAUUACGAGGAUUGUCCGCCAUCACUUCCUAUUGAGUGCUCGGGGUCAAGAAUUUGCCUUUCGGAUCCUUAUUUUGAUUUUCACCCAUGUUGUGAUUAUUAUAUUUUAUUUAGAUGAUUAAUU